AGCGGAGGAAAAGAAACCAACCGGGAUUGCCUUAGUAACGGCGAGUGAAGCGGCAAAAGCUCAAAUUUGAAAUCUGGUACCUUCGGUGCCCGAGUUGUAAUUUGGAGAGGGCAACUUUGGGGCCGUUCCUUGUCUAUGUUCCUUGGAACAGGACGUCAUAGAGGGUGAGAAUCCCGUGUGGCGAGGAGUGCGGUUCUUUGUAAAGUGCCUUCGAAGAGUCGAGUUGUUUGGGAAUGCAGCUCUAAGUGGGUGGUAAAUUCCAUCUAAAGCUAAAUAUUGGCGAGAGACCGAUAGCGAACAAGUACAGUGAUGGAAAGAUGAAAAGAACUUUGAAAAGAGAGUGAAAAAGUACGUGAAAUUGUUGAAAGGGAAGGGCAUUUGAUCAGACAUGGUGUUUUGUGCCCUCUGCUCCUUGUGGGUAGGGGAAUCUCGCAUUUCACUGGGCCAGCAUCAGUUUUGGUGGCAGGAUAAAUCCAUAGGAAUGUAGCUUGCCUCGGUAAGUAUUAUAGCCUGUGGGAAUACU
rnacentral:rRNA from 1 species